AAUGAGAUGCCUGAAUAAAGGAUUAUUUUGAUAGAAUAAAUUAUGUAAUAUUUUACUCUUAUUA
rnacentral:tRNA from 1 species